rnacentral:lncRNA from 1 species
AACUCUUCAUCCCAUUCAAUAUACCUUUGAAGCACUUCUUCAAAAAUUAGCCUUCUCUCUCAACUUGAGCAGAACACACCAAUUCCCUUGCAUUAAAAAAGGUCCUCACAUAACCAAUCCUUGCCAAGAAAAUAGUGGGAAAGACUCUUUUGGUAGUGUAUUUGUUCAUGAAGAAGAAUUCGUGUUAUAAUUCAAGAUUUGGAGAAGAUUUGAAGAAAGGUCUUCAAAGGUAAAGCUCUUCUCCCUAAGUUUUUCUAUAAGCAACCAUUGUUUUUUUUUUUUUUUUUUUUUUCUCUCUCUCUAUGUAUUACUGCUUUUCAACCCAAAAUUAAUAGCAAACCAAUCACUUGCUUUGGCUACGAGAUUUGGUCCCUUCAUGAUGGUCUAUGAAUUAGGGGCAUUAAAUGCUUGCUUUUGUAAGAAAUCAAUACACUAAUCAUGGUUAGAGAUUGACAAAAUACUUUUAGAAAUAACCUUGUUUUAGCCAUUAGUAAAGUGCAAUAAGUGGAUGAUUAUUGUUUACCAAAAGGGAAACAUACAAGGAAUAAAUAAGAAAGAAAAGAGAAAGAAACACACACAGAUAAGAAAGAGACGAGAGUUGAAGCUGGAUUAAAAUAAAUAAUCAAUAGAGAAGAAGAAGAAGGAAGCAUACAAAUGUUUACGUGGAUCACAGUUUAGAUAAGAAGAAAUGAGACUUGUUGAGUUGAACGAUUGAUAUCGAGUCUCCGAGUCAAAUCGCGAUUUAUUACGAGUCUAUUGAAUAAGUGGGCUUUUUGGACCUUUCACAUGUGGGCUCAAGAAAAGUUUUGCAUUUUUAUCUUCUUUCUUUUUUUUUUUUGCGUCUUUACACGGGUUAUAUUUGUAAAUAGUUUUAUCCUAUUUUCUAUAUUUAAAACAACAAUAAUGAUAAAAGAAUGAGAAGAAUAACAAAAUAGAAGGUUUACUUUCAUACAUGAUAAAAUAGCAAAAUCCAAAAAUAUGAAGAAAAAAAUUAUUGCAACGAGCCAUAAAUACCCUGUAAUUAAAAUUAAAUUCUCAAUACAAAUACCUAUAAAAAUCCUAAUUUUUCCCCAAAACCAAAAAAUUAACACCGAUUUCUUUCAUCAGUUGCAAAAAUUAUUGGAGUUUCUAGCUUCGUCUCCUUCAAACCCUUCAAAGUCUUCAUACAUUUAAAUUUUCUUCUUGCCUGCUUCUCUAACUAGAGACUUUGGGAUUUUCUUCAUGUCGGCUCCUCUAACCGAAGAAUCACAUGUCGAACAACCCAUACUGCAAACUCCAAGAAGAACCACAACUGAAAAGCAGAACACCUACAACGAAACUCACCGUGAAACUUGUCGAAAACGUCGCUCGACCCUUCUAUCAUCCUGCUGCGGCUAAACUUGACUCCAACAAACGCAGGAACAUUAGAACCUACUGCAAACCCACAACCAACAUUGGACAUCGUCAAACGCUGCUCGAAAAAGCUCGGCUGCACUUUUCUCCUCUCUUUUUUGCAAGAAAAACUCUCCAACUGUGUUUGUCUCUUGUGUCGACUGCCUCUUCCCUCUCAAUUUUCUUUUCUUUUCUCAAAUAAAACUUAAAAAAAGAAGAUUCAAAUGAUUGGAAAAAUGUCAUUGAGACAUAAUUACAAUUAUACACUCAACAUAAAAACUAUUUAAAACCACUUAAAUAUUUUUCAUUUUUCUAAACUCAUUCCAACCCUUCUUUCAAUAUUUAGUGAUUCAUAAUAAGCUAAUUGUAAAAGAAAAAAAGCUAAAAAAAAAAACAGUGUUAGUCCCUAAUGUUUAAGAAGUUUUAAUUAAAUCGGAAAUGUUUUAACGUUUCUCAAUUUAUAUCUCUUCAAGAUUUGUGAUUUGUUAAAAUUGGGCUAUCCUUAGUGAUUAACUUACAAGAUAUAAUGCUUAAUGAAGAUAAAAAAAAUGAGGAAGGGGGAUUAUUUUAUGGAGAGAAGGAUAUCACUAGCUAUCAAAUGUUUGUUAUUGAUAG